rnacentral:rRNA from 1 species
UACGUAGGGGGCAAGCGUUGUCCGGAAUCAUUGGGCGUAAAGAGCGUGUAGGCGGCUCGAUAAGUCUGCUGUGAAAGUCCAGGGCUCAACCCUGGAAGGCCGGUGGAAACUGUCGGGCUAGAGUCCGGGAAGAGGCGAGUGGAAUUCCCGGUGUAGCGGUGAAAUGCGCAGAUAUCGGGAGGAACACCAAUGGCGAAGGCAGCUCGCUGGGACGGUACUGACGCUGAGACGCGAAAAGCGUGGGGAGCAAACAGGG